ACCUAAAGAGUAUGAUAUCAUCAUUAAGCUUCUUAAAAAUGAUACAAUUUUUAAGUACAUUUUUUAACUUGCAAAAGUAGCACAUGGCAAGUGACAUAAGUUUAUAAUAAAAAAUGUUAAUAAUCCUCUGCUUCCGAUCGGUCUAGUUCUCAUGACCAAGGCUGACAUUUUAUUGCAAUAAAUAGCAAUAGCUUUUUCUACAAACAUUUCUCUUGUUUUCUGCAGAAUAUCCAGAAUUCAACUUAUUGAAUACAAAUAUAUAAUCAUUUUGCUAAUUUGAACAAAUAAAUCAGAACUUCAGCUUUGGAAAACCCUUGAUAAAUUUGUUCACCUCCUGAGGACCGACUCUUACUGGUUUACUCUCCGUUUACUUACAAUGUAGCAAAUUCAACCCUCCCUUCUGGAAUCACUCUGUUCUUUCUUAUUUCUCCAUCUCAAGCAAUCAAAUGACAACAAAAAUAUACAAUAUGUUAAUGAGUUUCCCUUUUUAAUUCAAAAAUUCCCAAAUUUUCCAUCCAUAGCAGAUGUGACAGAAGCCAACCACUCUCUGCCAGGCCUUGCCUCAGUGUAGACAGAAGCAGAGCUGUCAUUUGCUCCUCCAGCAUUUAUCUGCUUCUACGGUAGAGCCCGGCACAGGGCUCUACCACAGAAGACUCUCUGAAUCACCUGAGAGCUGCCUCUGUAGCUGUCCCUUAUCUGGGCAAGGGAAGCCUAAAGGCAGGGCUGCUGCUCAGGACAGCAGGAGGUCAAAAUCCAGUUCGAUGCAGAGAAAACAUUCAGGUCACCCUUUUGGGAAAAUCAACUUGAAACCUCCAACUAGUCCAGGGUUAAAUGAGACAGACUGUAGAAGACCAGGUGGGAAAGAUAAUCACCCUUGGCAUCCACUAGAUUCUAAUCAGUAAAGUGGAUGGAACAGCAGAGAACAGCAGAAAAUCUUGAAGUAAGCCAUUGCCCAGCCUGAAGGUCUUAAAUUAUUUAGCAUGUAUCAAUUAUGAAAGGCUUUCAGGCAAACACAAUUUCAUUCUAUCUUUGUCUUUCCUGUUUACAAGAUUUGCUGUACAAAGACGCUCAAGUGACCCCUUGUUUCUCUUUUUCUUGCUAUCUUUUCUGAUUAAAAAAAAAAAAGGUCUAGAAAUUGCUGACAGAGUCUAAUCUUUUUCUCCUGCUGUCUUUUUAGUCCUUUCUCUUUAUCUUCUCUACAGCCCUGGGACCCUGCCCUGUCCUCCAGGCCCUGAUUCUUCUCUCUAUAUUGGCAACUUUUUUUUUUGACCUCGAGGGCGCCCGCUGCCUGAAGCAUGUGGAUCUAGCUUUGGAAAACACUGCCCUUGUCUCCAGCCACCCAACAGCUGCUCGAAGAUUUUCCCUGUUGUGGGAAUUGGAUUUGCACCCUCCAUCAGCAAGUUCCUGCUCAUCAUACCUGGCAACUACAGACAGCUGGCCAGCAGGGAAAGUACUGGGAGAAAAAGUUAAUAGCCUAGAAAGGAACCGAAGUCCGUCAACACAGCAGCCUCUCUAAUUGAGCUGAUAAGCCAUUGGCAGGGAUCAGCAAAACCUUUGGCAGGAUCAGAUGUUGGCAACUGAGGCUCUCAGAGAUUAAGUGAAACGUCAGAAGUUGGAGAGCUGAAAGUACAGAGAGGUGUCUUUCUCUACUGAACGAAAUGCUUCUUCCUACUCACCAUGAUUACUAGUAAAAAUCUAGACUUGCAAAUGAAACUCUAAAAAGACAAAUAAUAAUACUGGAUAUGAUUUAUUAAGGACUGACAUUAUGCCAUUCCAGUGUUAAGCAUUAUCUCCUUUAAUUCUACAGUCCUGUAAGGUGUACAUUAGUGCCUGUACUUAACUAGUACACACUCAGAGAGGUUAAGUUACUAGCAUGGGAGCACAGAGCUAAGAAGUGAGAGAGCUAGAAUCUGAGCCCAGAUUUGUAUCUGGCCUGAAAAUGGAAGAGAUGCUAAUUUGAAAUUAUAUAUAUGACUUAAUCACUACAUAUUAUAUAUAUACAACAAAUUUUCUUAUGUACUCCAUACAUUUGCACAAAUUAAAAAAAGAAAUUACAUAUGAGCAUAUUGUUGUGUAUAUGUUAAAAUAAAUCCAUAGUUUAUAGGACUCCAUAAAUAUAACACCAUUUUAUAGAUAUGUAAAAUCUAUUAAAAAUAUUAAUGCAUACAAAAAUACAUUUAUCAAUACAUGUAUAGUACAUGAUAUUCUGAUUAUACCUUCAGCAGCUGGUGAAUAUUUGGAUUGUUUCUAGCUUUGGGUUUCUACCUUUUAUCUAUGAAUAAAGUUUCUAUGAACAUUUACAUGCAAGUGUUUGAGUAACCUCAGGUUUUCAUUUAUUUUGAGUAGAUAUGUAGGAGCAGAAUUACUGGGUUAUAUGGUAAAUUUACUUUUUAAGAAACUGUAAAAAACUGUUUUCCGAAACGGCUGUACCAAUUUACAUUCCCAUCAGCAAUGAAUGAGAGUUCCGGUUUCUUGACAUCCUCACCUAUUAUUGCUUGUCUUUCUAUUAUAGUCAUUUUGGAGGGUGUCAAAUGAUAGUUUUAAUUUUCAUUUCCCUAGUAACUAAAGAUGUUCAUCAUUUCAUGUGUUUAUUGGCCACCUUAUAUCUUCUUUGGUGAAAUAUUUAUUCAAAUCUUACCUCCCCCUUUUUUAAACAACUUUUUGAGACAGGGUCUUGCUCGGUCACCCAGGCUGGAGUGCAGUGGAGUGAUCAUAGCUCACUGCAGCCUCAAUCUCUUGCUUAUGCCCAUUUUAAAAUUGGGUUAAUUGUCUCCUUAUUACUGAGUUGUAAGAAUCUUUAUAUGUGCUGGAGACAAAUAUUUUAUUAGGUAUAUGAUUUUUUUUUCUAUUCUGGGGCUUGUCUUUUGAUUCAUUUUGAAGAGCAAACUUUUUAAAUUUUGGUGAAGUCCAAGACCAAUUUAUCAAUUUUUUUGUUGUAUUGCUUGGUGUUAUAGUUAAGAAAUCUUUUUCUGGCCAUGCACGGUGGCUCACGCCUGUAAUUCCAACACUUUGGAAGGCUGAGGUGGGCAGAUCACUUGAGCCCAGGAGUUUGAGACCAGCCUGGCCAACAUGGCAAAACCCUGUCUCUACUAAACAUACAAAAAUUAGCCGAGCAUGGUGACAGACGCCUAUAAACCCAGCUACUUAGGAGGCUGAGGUGGGAUAAUGGUUUGAACCCAGGAAGCCGAGGCUGCAGUGAGCCAAGAUGGCACCACUGCCCUCCAGCCUGGGUGACAGCGAGACUCUGUCUCAUUAAAAAAAAAAAAAAAGAAGAAGAAAAUUUUUUUCCAACCCAAGGCCACAGAGAUUUACUCAUAUUUUAUUGUGAAAGUUGUAUAGUUUUAGUUUUAUUUAGGUUUCCUACCCAUUUUGACUUAUUUAUGUGUAUAUGUAAGGUAAAGUUAUAUAUUCAUCUUUUUUAUUUUUAUUUUUUUUUUAGGCAGAGUCUGACUCUGUUGCCCAGGCUGGAGUGUAAUGGCACCAUCAUAGCUCACUGUAGCCUCUAUCUUUUGGGCUCGGGUGAUCCUCCCACCUCGGCCUUCGGAAUAGCUGGGACUAGAGAUGGCAAGCAACCACGCCCAGUUAAUCUUUUUUUUUAUUUAUUUUUUGUAGGGACAGUGUUUUGCCAUGUUGCCCAGGUGGCUGGUUUCAAACUCAUGGACUCAAAUGCUGCCCCCACCGUGGCCUCCCAAAGUGCUGGGACUGCAGGCGUCAGUGACAACACUCGGCCCAAAUUUAUCUUUUUGCACACAGAUAUUCAAUUGUCCUAGCACCAUUUGCUGAAAAAAAAUAUACUUUCCUCUAUUGAAUUACCUUGGCACCUUUGUGGAAAAUUAACUGACCGUAAAUACAAGGGUUUAUUUCUAGACAGUCAAGUCUGUUCUAUAAAUCUAUAUAUCUAUCCUUAUGCAAUAUCACAUGGUCUUAAUUAUUGUAGCUUUAUAAUAAGUUUUGAAAUCAGAAUGUGUAUAAGUCUAUCUGACUUUGCUCUCUUGUGAGAAUGUUUUGGCUAGCUAUUUUGAUCUCAACUCGUUGUGGUAUUCUACUCCAAAAAUAACUGACACUUUUCAGUGAUGCUAAUGAGAGAGAUGAUGAUUGAAUUAGAAAUAAUGAGUUCAUUUGUGGGUUUUUUUUGUUUUUUGUUUUUUUUUUUUUUACAGCCUGUAGCAUAUGCUUUUGUGUAACCUCAGCUCAGCGAGGGCCCAUCUUUUUUAUUUGAAUGGGUUUGAUUUUUGGCAAUGACGUCAAGUCAUGAUAGCCAAAUCUGAUGCAUGAGAUGAGUCAUUCAGCUCUAAUACCACAUUUUAGGUAAAAAGAUGAAUAAGGAUUACAGCCAUGUAAAAAUCUAUGUGCUUUUGGGAAAAAAAGAAGAAAAGACAUAUAAAUGAUAGCAUGAGUUCAUUCUUUCAACAAUACAUAUUGGCCACAUGUGAUAUGUUGACUACUGUGCAAGUUUUAGGGUAUAUAAAUAUGUGCGAAGAAACACUGGAAUUGUGUUUUACCCUAUCUCUCUCAUGUUUGUAAUUGUUCAGUAACAUCCUUUUUUUGCUAAGUUUUAUUGGACAAUUGACUAGACACAUAUUACAUGCCAGAUUCUAAUUUAGUUGCUUGGCUUAGAGAAGUGAACAAAAUCAACAAAGUUCCUUCCUCCACAGAGCUUACAUUCUAGAUGGGAGAGACAGACAAUAUCUAGACAAACAUGUAAAUAUAGAACAUAUUAGACAGAAGUUCUAUGGAGAAAAAUAGAACAGGGUAAAAUGGAAGGAAGAUUUUGGGGGUAAUAUUUCAUCUAGGAAGAUCUCUGUAGUAAGGUAACAUUUGAACACAGACCUGGGCUCGAUACAUGCAAACUAUAAUAUACAUUUAGUAUUCAGAUAUUUUAGAAUCACAGAUUCUCAGAUUUCAAAAGGACUUUGAAAUACAUGAAUUUUGUAUCACUUCUAUUUGUGAUCAUCUAGUGUUUGCUUGAACAUUUUUAGUGAAAAUAGCACAUUUUCAAAAGCUUAUUUCAUUGUUGGAUGACUCAAAUCUUCAGAAAAUUCUUUUUAUUGCUUUGAAACUAGUCUCUUGAAAAAUCCACAUAUUUUAAAUUUUCUCAUUGGAACAACCCAGAAUAAAUAUCAUCUCACAUGGAUUUCUUUUCCCAAAUCUUAUGUGUCCCAUGAGUGACUCUGAAAAUGGCUCCAAAAGGGAAGGCUUAAUGCCUUUUGUUUGUUCGUUUUUGUGUGUGUUUUUGCUGUGUGGCAGCAUCACUGGAAAAAGCCAUUAUGGCCUCUCAAAGACACUGCCUUAAAAACAAUAGUCAUUUAGAUAUCCUAGUAUAUUUGUUACAAAUCACUCCGAUUAUGAUAAUAAUCACAACUCACGAAUGAUCUUAUGAGUUGGUUCAAAUAGGUUGGAUACUUCUUGGUUCCCCCUGUAAGUAUCCUUCACAAACUUUAAAUCUCCUGGAUACAAUUCUGCUGAGUGAUCAAACACUACCCGCCUGACCCUGACUAGAAUUAAAUAUGGUGAAUAAUUUAGUUUUCUUUGGAACUUUGUCUACAUUGAAAAAAUCCAGUCACUAUAUGUUCCAAGCAUCACCAUUUUGUAUUUUGAGAUUUUUACUUGGUUGCAUUAUCUUUUUGGAUAUAAUUGUUUUUACAGUCAAUAAUACUCCAAGCCUUUUGACGAUUAACAUUUUUUGUUUAGAAAAAUCUGCCUUGGGAUAGAAUUUUUUCGUAGUUCUGGCUUCCCAAUGAGAUAUAUUCAGAUACACUCAGAUACAUACUAUCUCCCAAUAUAUUGGCAAUUCCCUUUUUAGUGAAAACAGAGCUUCCCCUUUCAACUUUUUUUCCUUUUGUUUUCCUCCUGAAAAUACUAUCAUCUGUUUGUUGGUUUGUUUAUUCAACGCACAUUUACCAACUAUGUUCUGUGCAACAAGUCUGUGCUGGAAGCUGGGAUUAUAAACAGAAAAUGGAAAUUGAUCUAGUCUCUGCCCUCAAGGAGUUCACACUCCUGGGAGAGAGGCAGACAGCUGACAAUAACACAGUGCAGUGAUGCCUCUAGCCAGGCGCCAGGGAGGGAAGAACCAUGGGGCACAGAUAAAGAAGCAAUAUAGCCUAUGUGAGUGGAGUCAGAGAAAGUGCAGAAUCAGAUAGAGCUUUCCAGGCUGAAAGAGCAGCCUCUGGGCAAAUGCACAGGAGUAUGAAAACAAAAACAAAAACCAGACUGUUUGGCUAGGUGGAGUAGGUGGAGAUGAGGCAGAAACUGGCCCUGAUUCAGGUACUACUUUUUAAAAAUGGCUUUGGUAUCUACCCCUCCCCACUCCUAAUAGCCACCAGUAUCAUGCCCUUCACAUGGUAGGUGCUUAUACAUGUUGAAUAUUUCUUUAUUUGAAGGGCUUUCUAGGCCAUGUCAAAGAGUUUUGGACUUUAUUACCAUCUAGUGUUAGGUAGACAUAACAUUAUCCCGUAGCAUCAUCCAUAGCCAUAGUUGCCUAACAAGGACACUGUUCACCUUAGCAAGUGUCCUGAUUUAAUAAAGACUCAACAAGAGAGUGGCAAAAACUCACCAGUUCCUCCAAAAAUCAUCAAUACCAGACCUGCCAGUAGAUCUGGUGUUUCCACAAUUAGUAUUCAUAGGGUGAUCAGAGAGAGCUCCUAAAUAUACAUGUAUCUAAUUCCUACUUCAGCCUAACAGUCUCUAUGGAAGGAGACUCCCACUUCCUAUAGAUGAGUCACUUUGCUUGUGGCUUAUGUUUUUGUGGCAGCUAUUGUUUAGAAGCGUUGCAAGGCCCUACCAAUUGUUUGUUUUCAUACUUUAUUAAUCCCCAAAUUUCGAGAAGAAUUUGGUAAUUUCAGAAACUAUUCCUAUUUUAAAAUAUUUGUUUAGGCAUUACUAUUUAUAUCCA